ACUAACUAAUAGUAUACAUCAGGAAGUGAUAUCUUCUCCACUUUUACUGUUAAGUUUUUAUGAAGAGUUUGUGAUAGAUAUUUAUUAAUUAUUUUCAGGUUUGGAAUAGUUCACCAGUGAAGUCAUCUCAACCAGCACAGGGCCUUGACUCCUAACAACAAUCACACGAACUUGGAAGAGGAGCCUUCCCCACCUGAACCUUCACUUGAGACCUCGUCCUUGGCCAUCCUCUACAUCUGGAUUCAUGAUACAGAGAAACUUGAGUAAUGAUGACAAUAGCAGUCCAGUGUGCAUGGAUGCUGACGUGGAUGCUGUCUCCCAUUCUUACCACUGGAUGGGAAGAAAUGAUAGAUGCAAUCCAGCCAUUGUGUUCUCGACUCUCAGUUCCAUCUUCUCAACUGACAUUGUCUUCCAAAGUCCGUGCCACACCACAGCCUGGAACAUCUCCCAAAGUGGUAUCUUGAUGCAAUGGUAGAGCUCAUGUCACAGUAUUGUAUGUCUCAGGUAUCGCUGUCCUUCACUGUUUGAUAUAAUCUCUCUUACAAACCAUUGUUCCAUACACUUUGCCC
rnacentral:lncRNA from 1 species